UUUAUGGAGAGUUUGAUCCUGGCUCAGGAUAAACGCUGGCGGCGUGCCUAAUACAUGCAAGUCGAGCGAACGGACGAGAAGCUUGCUUCUCUGAUGUUAGCGGCGGACGGGUGAGUAACACGUGGAUAACCUACCUAUAAGACUGGGAUAACUUCGGGAAACCGGAGCUAAUACCGGAUAAUAUUUUGAACCGCAUG
rnacentral:rRNA from 1 species